rnacentral:rRNA from 1 species
AUACGGAGGAUGCGAGCGUUAUCCGGAUUCAUUGGGUUUAAAGGGUGCGUAGGCGGCCCGUUAAGUCAGCGGUGAAAUACCCAGGCCUAACCUGGGGGGUGCCGUUGAUACUGGCGGGCUUGGGUUCUGUAGAGGCAGGCGGAAUUGACGGUGUAGCGGUGAAAUGCAUAGAUAUCGUCAAGAACACCGAUAGCGAAGGCAGCCUGCUGGGCAGAUACCGACGCUGAGGCACGAAAGUGUGGGGAUC